rnacentral:lncRNA from 1 species
CCACAUUAAUUUGCUUCACAUUAAGUCCAUCAUCGCAGGAAUUCACCCGCUAGGACCGUCCUUCGGGUUUACUCCAACCCGUGAUGCAUAACUCCGGAGUGCAUCGCCCGAGGGGGAGCGACCGCCCUCGAGCACGGAACUCAUAGCAAGUAUGAUCAUAUCCUUAACUCAAAGGAUUUACAAGUUCAAUCUUGACUUUACACUAGCUCUAGUGUUCUUUCAUCACUUUUUGUUGCCACUCUAGCAAUCAUUGUUCUUUACCAUUCAUUACUCUUGCUAACUCUAGCAAUUAUAUUCUUUACAUUCUUCACUUUUGGCUACCUCUAGCACUUCAUGUUCUUUACUCCCCACAUUAUUUUAACUUUACACAUUGUCAUUUUCAUCAUUCUUUACAAUAAAUUGGUUUUUUAGCUCACACUAUCUCUAUUGUCAUUUCACUUUAACUUUAUCGAAUGCCACUCGAACUUUAUCGAAUUUCACUUUAACUUUAUCGAAUGCUCACACUAUUCUUUUGCUCACUUUGGGUGCUCACUUUUCUCUC